rnacentral:rRNA from 1 species
CCUACGGGAGGCAGCAGUAGGGAAUCUUCGGCAAUGGGGGCAACCCUGACCGAGCAACGCCGCGUGAGUGAAGAAGGUUUUCGGAUCGUAAAGCUCUGUUGUAAGAGAAGAACGUGUGUGAGAGUGGAAAGUUCACACAGUGACGGUAACUUACCAGAAAGGGACGGCUAACUACGUGCCAGCAGCCGCGUAAU